UACGUAGGCGGAAAAUUAAGUCAGUAGUGAAAUCCUGCAGCUUAACUGUAGAACUGUUAUUGAUACUGGUUUUCUUGAAUAUAGUUGAGGUAGGCGGAAUGUGUAAUGUAGCGGUGAAAUGCUUAGAUAUUACACAGAACACCGAUUGCGAAGGCAGCUUACUAAGCUAUGAUUGACGCUGAGGUACGAAAGCGUGGGGCGCGAACAGGAUUAGAUACCCUGGUAGUCC
rnacentral:rRNA from 1 species